rnacentral:lncRNA from 1 species
AUCACUUUCUCUCUCUCUCUCUCUCCAACUCUUGGAAGGUGGAAGAAUGGAAGUGAUGAGAAAAUAAAAGGAAGUGCCCCUAUUUAUAGAAAAUGAGGGUUGUUGGAUUUGCGCCAAGUGGCAAAAUCCAAUGAAGAGAGAGUGUAGAAAUGGGAGAGAUGCUUGAUUUGAUAUAACACAAAAAAUGGAAGAGAAUCCUCCUCCACCAAUGGUGGCACACCCCAAACGACGGCAUGCCGCCCAAGGUGGGCAGCGACACACUACUUGAGGUGCCAGUGUGCCUCACUCACUCGGCGUG